UCUGGUAGUUAUGGCGAGAAGGUCACACCCGUUCCCAUCCCGAACACGGUAGUUAAGCUUCU
rnacentral:rRNA from 1 species